CACCUCCUGCUAUCCUGAGGGUGGGGGACAGAGGGAAGGGUCUCUGAUGGGCGGGGAGAGGUACAGGCUGCCCAGCCCAGGACCGCCCCCCAGCCCAGGCAGAGCCCCUGGGCCUGAGAAACUGUCUCCCGUGGGGGGCGUUGGCCUCGCCCCUUUCUCUGCUUCCCACACCCAGGGCGGCUGCAGACGGCAGCAUCUCUGGGGACAGCAGCUACGACUGAGUCCACGGGCCGACACUGAGCUGCUUGGGCUGAGGCGGCGCGCUCAGCCCAGAGCCCCCGCCCGGAACAGGCUUCUGCAGGGCUUGAGGAGCCAUCCGAAGGUGGAUGAAAUGGGUCCUGAUUUGUCCCAUGUCUGGAGAAGAUAGUCUGUGGUGUGGCUUUUGAAGUAUGUAUAGGAGUUUGCCAGAUGAACAUGAACACAAAGGACAUUCCGGGAAAAUGAAAGCACAUGCAGAGAUGGAGACUGCAUAACAUGCAGGCACACGCAGGUGACUGACAAGUGGUUCCCUCUGGUGGCGUGGCGUGCAGAUGAGGCUGGCAUGGUUGGCAGAGAGCAGGGGUGGGCCACUCUAAGGAGCUGGAUACAUGGAACACUUGUGAAUCACCUUAAACCUGCCAGCUUCCAUUUCCUGCUCCCCCUCUGGUGCCCUGGAAAUAACAUCAGCUAGUAUUCAUCGCCUGGAAAAUCCCAUGGAUGGAGGAGCCUGGUGGGCUGCAGUCCAUGGGGUUGCUGAGGGUCGGACACGACUGAGCGACUUCACUUUCACUUUUCACUUUCCUGCACUGGAGAAGGAAUUGGCAACCCACUCCAAUGUUCUUGCCUGGAGAAUCUCAGGGACGGGGAAGCCUGGUGGGCUGCCAUCUAUGGGGUCACACAGAGUCAGACACGACUGAAGUGACUUAGCAGCAGCAGCAGCAGUGUUCAUCGAGUGCUGAUUCUGCACCAGGCAGCAUGAUGCUAAAGGAACUUUAGGCACUGUGUUGUUAAACAUUCACAGAGACCUUAAGAAGUGGGUCCUACUUCUAUGCCCAUUUUACAGAUAAGAAAACUGAGGCUCAGAGAAUAGGAACAAAGUACUAUGUAGCACUCAGUAAGCAUCAGGCACUGGUUCUUAGCACUUUAUAUAAAUUAUCUCUUUUAACAGUCACAACAGCCCUAUAAUUUCCCAUUUUUAUGGACAUGGAAAUCAAGGCCCGUCUUUGGGGGCUGCUGCCU
ensembl:lncRNA